GCCGGGUGUGGUAGUGCACACCUGUAAUCCCAGCUACUCAGGAGGCUGAGGCAGGGGAAUUGCUUGAACCCGGGAGGUGGAGGUUGCAGGGAGCUGAGAUCGUGCCACUGCACUCCAGCCUGGGUGACAGAGCGAGACUCUGUCUCAA
ensembl:misc_RNA Metazoa_SRP Metazoan signal recognition particle RNA